rnacentral:lncRNA from 1 species
UCAAGUUGUAUUCAUAUAGUUAAUUUGAUAUAAGAAUUAUUGUAAUAUCUUCUUUAUGAGAGUUAUAUAUAUGACCGAACUUGCAUUACUUAGAUACAAAUUCACUGUUGUAGUUCGCCCGAUUGUGGUACUUUGUCUUUGGUUAAAUGGACAAUCUGGAGACACAUGUCAACACUUAGUUCAUAAGCAAGGUAGUGGACAGUAUUUGUUGAGAAGAUU